UACGUAGGUGGCAAGCGUUGUCCGGAUUUACUGGGCGUAAAGAGCGUGUAGGCGGUCCGGUAAGUCCGCUGUGAAAGUCGGGGGCUCAACCCUCGAAUGCCGGUGGAUACUGUCGGGCUAGAGUGCGGAAGAGGCGAGUGGAAUUCCUGGUGUAGCGGUGAAAUGCGUAGAUAUCGGGAGGAACACCUGUGGCGAAAGCGGCUCACUGGACCACAACUGACGCUGAUGCGCGAAAGCUAGGGGAGCAAACAGG
rnacentral:rRNA from 1 species